rnacentral:rRNA from 1 species
GUASSGGGCAAGCGUUGUCCGGAUUUAUUGGGCGUAAAGAGCGUGUAGGCGGCUUUACAGGUCCGCUGUGAAAACUCGAGGCUCAACCUCGAGCUGUCGGUGGAAACCGUAAAGCUAGAGUCCGGAAGAGGAGAGUGGAAUUCCCGGUGUAGCGGUGAAAUGCGCAGAUAUCGGGAAGAACACCCGUGGCGAAGGCGGCUCUCUGGGACGGUACUGACGCUGAGACGCGAAAGCGUGGGGAGCGAACAGGAUUAGAUACCCUGGUAGUCCACGCCGUAAACGAUGGGUGCUAGGUGUGGGAGGUGUCGACUCCUUCCGUGCCGAAGCUAACGCAUUAAGCACCCCGCCUGGGGAGUACGGCCGCAAGGCUA